UACGUAGGGUGCGAGCGUUAAUCGGAUUUACUGGGUGUAAAGGGCGCGUAGGCGGAUCUGUAAGUCAGAGGUGAAAUCCUGCGGCUUAACCGUAGAACUGCCUUUGAUACUGCAGAUCUUGAGUUCGAAAGAGAGUAGCGGAAUUCCAGGUGUAGUGGUGAAAUACGUAGAUAUCUGGAAGAACACCAGUGGCGAAGGCGGCUACCUGGACCAACACUGACACUGAGGUGCGAAAGCGUGGGGAGCAAACAGG
rnacentral:rRNA from 1 species